rnacentral:rRNA from 1 species
CCUACGGGUGGCAGCAGUAGGGAAUCUUUCACAAUGGGCGAAAGCCUGAUGGAGCAACGCCGCGUGCAGGAUGAAGGCCUUCGGGUUGUACACUGCUUUUAUAAGCGAGAAAUAUGAUGGUAACUUAUGAAUAAGGAUCGGCUAACUACGUGCCAGCAGCCGCGGUAAUACGUAGGGGGCAAGCGUUAUCCGGAUUUACUGGGUGUAAAGGGAGCGUAGACGGCUGAGCAAGUCUGAAGUGAAAGGCGGGGGCCCAACCCCCGGACUGCUUUGGAAACUGUAUAGCUAGAGUGCAGGAGAGGUAAGUGGAAUUCCUAGUGUAGCGGUGAAAUGCGUAGAUAUUAGGAGGAACACCAGUGGCGAAGGCGGCUUACUGGACUGUAACUGACGUUGAGGCUCGAAAGCGUGGGGAGCAAACAGGAUUAGAUACCCUUGUAGUC